rnacentral:sRNA from 2 species
CCCUUGCCAUUGAUGCCAGCUUGAAAAAGCUUCAACUGACUAUGCAGAUUUGUACGUGUCAUAAUCGUUGUCGCUAAAAAUCCUGGUUGAAAUGCGUUCAUUCCUAAUGAAACUUUUACCUCCUUUACUUCAGAUAUCCAAUCCACAGCCCAUUUGUUGUUAAAUCUGAUAAGGACCUCCAAGGCGUGUGGGCUGAGACGGAAAAUGCGAAAGAAUCAAGCAAAGUGCGAUCUAUCGGCGUCUCAAACUUCCGCCAGCGCGAGCUCGAAGCGGUGUUAAAGACAGCCAGAAUCAUACCCGCCAUCAAUCAGAUUGAGUAUCAUCCAUACCUAGAGCAUGGUGACACGGUGCUUUUGAAAGAAAAAAGGGGUAUCAGAAAUGUUGCGUAUGACCCACCCCGCCGGCAACGACGGCUAAAGGUGGUCCACUUGAUGGCAUCCUGGCUGGGUUAGCCAGGAAGUACGCUGUUACUGAGGUGGAGGUGUUGCUGCGGUGGUGUAUCGAUCGCGGUGCCAUCGCCAUCACGACGAGCAGUAAAAGGUCUCGAUUGAUAGGCUAUAUCUGCACACUCCAAUUCAGCUUAACCCCGGCAGAGAUUGGAAGCAUUUCCCGGGUUGG